rnacentral:rRNA from 1 species
GAUGAACGCUGGCGGCGUGCCUAAUACAUGCAAGUCGAGCGAACAGACGAGGAGCUUGCUCCUCUGACGUUAGCGGCGGACGGGUGAGUAACACGUGGAUAACCUACCUAUGAGACUGGGAUAACUUCGGGAAACCGGAGCUAAUACCGGAUAAUAUAUUGAACCGCAUGGUUCAAUAGUGAAAGACGGUUUUGCUGUCACUUAUAGAUGGAUCCGCGCCGCAUUAGCUAGUUGGUAAGGUAACGGCUUACCAAGGCAACGAUGCGUAGCCGACCUGAGAGGGUGAUCGGCCACACUGGAACUGAGACACGGUCCAGACUCCUACGGGAGGCAGCAGUAGGGAAUCUUCCGCAAAGGGCGAAAGCCUGACGGAGCAACGCCGCGUGAGUGAUGAAGGUCUUCGGAUCGUAAAACUCUGUUAUUAGGGAAGAACAAAUGUGUAAGUAACUAUGCACGUCUUGACGGUACCUAAUCAGAAAGCCACGGCUAACUACGUG